UGGGGAAUAUUGCACAAUGGGCGCAAGCCUGAUGCAGCCAUGCCGCGUGUAUGAAGAAGGCCUUCGGGUUGUAAAGUACUUUCAGCGGGGAGGAAGGGAGUAAAGUUAAUACCUUUGCUCAUUGACGUUACCCGCAGAAGAAGCACCGGCUAACUCCGUGCCAGCAGCCGCGGUAAUACGGAGGGUGCAAGCGUUAAUCGGAAUUACUGGGCGUAAAGCGCACGCAGGCGGUCUGUCAAGUCGGAUGUGAAAUCCCCGGGCUUAACCUGGGAACUGCAUUCGAAACUGGCAGGCUAGAGUCUUGUAGAGGGGGGUAGAAUUCCAGGUGUAGCGGUGAAAUGCGUAGAGAUCUGGAGGAAUACCGGUGGCUAAGGCGGCCCCCUGGACAAAGACUGACGCUCAGGUGCGAAAGCGUGGGGAGCAAACAGG
rnacentral:rRNA from 1 species